rnacentral:rRNA from 1 species
UACAGAGGGUGCAAGCGUUGUUCGGAAUUAUUGGGCGUAAAGCGCGUGUAGGCGGCCAUGCAAGUCGGGUGUGAAAGCCCUCAGCUCAACUGAGGAAGUGCGCCCCGAAACUGCGAGGCUUGAGUACCGGAGAGGAUGGUGGAAUUCCCGAAGUAGAGGUGAAAUUCGUAGAUAUCGGGAGGAACACCGGUGGCGAAGGCGACCAUCUGGACGGAUACUGACGCUGAGACGCGAAAGCGUGGGUAGCAAACAGG